rnacentral:rRNA from 1 species
UACGAAGGGUGCAAACGUUGCUCGGAAUCAUUGGGCGUAAAGCGCACGUAGGCGGCUUCGAAAGUCGGACGUGAAAUCCCAUGGCUCAACCAUGGACGUGCACCCGAAACUGCGAGGCUUGAGUACUGAAGAGGAUCGCGGAAUUCCCGGUGUAGAGGUGAAAUUCGUAGAUAUCGGGAGGAACACCAGUGGCGAAGGCGGCGAUCUGGGCAGAUACUGACGCUGAGGUGCGAAAGCGUGGGGAGCAAACAGG